CCUACGGGUGGCAGCAGUCGAGAAUCAUUCACAAUGGGGGAAACCCUGAUGGUGCGACGCCGCGUGGGGGAAUGAAGGUCUUCGGAUUGUAAACCCCUUUCAUGUGGGAGCAAAUUAAAAAGCUAGUACCACAAGACGAAGAGACGGCUAACUCUGUGCCAGCAGCCGCGGUAAUACAGAGGUUUCAAGCGUUGUUCGGAUUCACUGGGCGUAAAGGGUGCGUAGACUGGUUGGUAAGUCGUGUGUGAAAGGCCGGGGCUCAAACCGCGGACGGCAAUUGAUACUGGCAGUCUUGAGUAGAGGAGAGGGAGGCGGAAUUCGUGGUGUAGCGGUGAAAUGCGUAGAUAUCACGAAGAACACCGGUUGCGAAGGCGGCUUACUGGACUGUAACUGACGCUGAGGCACGAAAGUGUGGGGAGCGAACAGGAUUAGAUACCCGUGUAGUC
rnacentral:rRNA from 1 species